rnacentral:rRNA from 1 species
GACGGACGCUGGCGGUGUGCCUAACACAUGCAAGUCGAGCGAGUGAAUCUCCUUCGGGAGUGAAGCUAGCGGCGGACGGGUGAGUAACACGUGGGCAACCUGCCUCAUAGAGGGGAAUAGCCUUUCGAAAGGAAGAUUAAUACCGCAUAAGAUUGUAGCUUCGCAUGAAGUAGCAAUGAAAGGAGCAAUCCGCCAUGAGAAGGGCCCGAGGCGCAUUGGCUAGUUGGUGAGGUAACGGCUCACCAAGGCGACGAUGCGUAGCCGACCUGAGAGGGUGAUCGGCCACAUCGGGACUGAGACACGGCCCAGACUCCUACGGGAGGUAGCAGUGGGGAAUAUUGCACAAUGGGGGAAACCCUGAUGCAGCAACGCCGCGUGAGUGAUGACGGCCUUCGGGUUGUAAAGCUCUGUCUUCAGGGACGAUAAUGACGGUACCUGAGGAGGAAGCCACGGCUAACUACGUGCCAGCAGCCGCGGUAA